AAUGCCUCAAGUGUUGCGUGGAAACUGUUUCCCAAAAGCCCAUGGAUAAGUCAGUUUACAACAAGUGUAAACUGAAACAUAUGCUAGGACAUGACUUCAUUUUCAAGAAAACAUAGUUUUGAACUUGGACAUGUCAAAGCAAAGACCUGUGCGAUCCUUCUGUCAACUGGAAAACUAUACCGGAAAGGGAGUGUGGGUCUGUGGAUGGAAUGAUACAGUAUCUUUUCCCCUGAAUUCAACGGGAAGACCUUUACAAUCCUCAGGAAAAUUUAAGCAGCUUCGUGUAUACCCUCAAGAAAGAAAGAAAUCCAUCAGAAGACAGAUCACUUUCCAAAUAAACCUCCUCAUGGGGAGACCCAGGAUUCGUCUCGCCUGUUACAUGUUUUGUCAGGGGUUCCUAAGACCACACUCAGGCUUGAUGAUUUGCAAGAAGGACUCACAGAACUCAGAAAAACUGUUAUUCUCAUGGUUAUAGUUUAUUACAGUGAAAGGAUACAGAUUAAAAUCAGCAAAUGGGAAAUGUGCACGGGACAAAGUCAAGGAAAAAUCAGGCACAAGCUUUCAGGUAUUCCCUCCUAACGGAGUUGCAUGGGGAUGCACUUAAUUCUCUAUGUGAAAAUAUGUGAUAACACAUGUGAAGCAUUGCCAGCUAGGGAAGCUCACGUGAGCCUUGAUUUCUAGGGUUAGUAUCGCAAGUCACUUGUGUAGGUAUGCACUGCCCACAUGACUGACCUUAACUACUCAGACCCCAGCUCCCCAGUGGUCAAACUGAUACAACAUGGUCCAGGGCCGCAGGCAUUCAAAAACACUCUCAUCAGGUGGGAUAUUCUAAGGGCUCAGGGGUUAUCUCCCAGGAACUAGCCAAGGGCCAGUCCUAUAAAGACAGGCUUUCUUUAGAAUGUACAGGGUUUGAGCAACCCAGACCUGCCGAGUUAACCCUUUACUACACACAUGUAGGUCUUAUCUCCCUAACUAGAGCAUAAGGUCCUCAAAGAAAAGGGUCAUAUAUUUUUACAGUUUUCCCCCAAGUGAAUGCAUGCUUGGUUGUCCCUUUGCCAGAGUGGAGCAAAUCGGCAUUCCUGAACUCCUGAACCUAGUCUUCUCCCAGGAACAUGAUUCAGUAUCACAUUUUGGAAAGUACUCUGGAACUGCUCUAUAAAAAUGGCUUCAUAUCGGGGCUGGCCCCGUGGCCGAGCGGUUGAGUUCGCGCGCUCCGCUGCAGGCGGCCCAGUGUUUCGUUGGUUCGAAUCCUGGGCGCGGACAUGACACUGCUCAUCAAACCACGCUGAGGCAGCGUUCCACAUGCCACAACUAGAAGGACCCACAUCGAAGAAUGUACAACUAUGUACCGGGGGGCUUUGGGGAGAAAAAGGAAAAAAUAAAAUCUUUAAAAAAAAAAAAAAUGGCUUCA
rnacentral:lncRNA from 1 species